UGCUAGUCAACAUCGACUGCUUGUGUGAGUGGAUAACGUUGAUGUGAAUUCUUUAUCUCUGGCUGUAAAUGUUUGCUCCCUCAAUCCACAUCAAAACUAAAAAAAGAAUAUCUUCUUAUUGCAGAAAUCUGUCUGUGGCUCGCAUAUCUCGAGAACCGUUCAUCCUAUUGGCUUCACACUUGGUCAUGUUUAUUAUUAAAGGCCCCAAAAGUGCCUCAUUGAGAUUGGUGUGAUUUGCAUUACAAUCAAUUCAAUAUCAAUACAAUUUGAGGAAACAGGUGACCAGCGAUCUGCAGCAGCAGUGGCUGGUAGUCAUCAACGGGAGGUGAGAGCGUUGAUCACGACAGCACGUUCACAGCGACGACAACUGAUUCUCCAGUUCAAGGUUCUGUGUGACUUCACCCGACUUUGAACAAACAGGAUUCAGCCGAUGCUGCUGUGGCAGCUGGAGCGGCACGAGAGGGUCUGGAAAGGACGGCUGUAGCUAAUGAAGAGAGAUGUAGAAGAGGAGGAGGACGGCAGCCAGCAUGCUGCUGCGGGGGAGCCAGCUUGAGCAGAAGCAACAGAGCCACUGGGGAUUCCUCCACCCCACACUUUAACAUGGAGCCUUCAGGGAAGGAGAGGUGUCGUGCUUGCUUAAGGAGGUGCUAACCUCACCAUCUUGUGCAGUUCUCAGUGACAGAGGGAGAAGGACUUGCCCUGAGUGAAGGAGCUUGUGGCGAGCUCAUCGAUCAAAGACCGGGAAAUGUCAGGUGGCAAGUACAAGGCAGAGUUGGGGUUUUUUUGCGCAAUAUGCUGGAGCUACACCUCACAAGCUAUUACUGUGAAUACGAAUUUAUUCUGUCAUAUAUACAAUUAAAACAGAGGUUAGAAAAAUGA